UAGAACGCACAGGAUGCACCGUAGUUUACUACACCGUAUUCUGUGAGUUGCGAACGGGUGAGUAACGCGUAGGUAACCUGCCUGGUAGCGGGGGAUAACUAUUGGAAACGAUAGCUAAUACCGCAUAAGAACAUUUACUGCAUGGUAGAUGUUUAAAAGGUGCAAGAGCAUCACUACCAGAUGGACCUGCGUUGUAUUAGCUAGUUGGUGAGGUAACGGCUCACCAAGGCAACGAUACAUAGCCGACCUGAGAGGGUGAUCGGCCACACUGGGACUGAGACACGGCCCAGACUCCUACGGGAGGCAGCAGUGGGGAAUAUUGCACAAUGGGGGAAACCCUGAUGCAGCGACGCCGCGUGAGUGAAGAAGUAUCUCGGUAUGUAAAGCUCUAUCAGCAGGGAAGAAAAUGACGGUACCUGAGUAAGAAGCCCCGGCUAACUACGUGCCAGCAGCCGCGGU
rnacentral:rRNA from 1 species